rnacentral:misc_RNA from 1 species
ACUAAAUAAGGUGAAACAAUAGAACCGUAAAAAGGAAGCGGAAGUAAGAAAAAAUUGGAGAAACAACCGACGAAGAUGGGGCGAAAAAGAGGGGUUAAUGGACUUACGCGACAAUACUCUUCGAAAGGGGCCACCGUUCCAUAUCAGCUUGGUACUUCAUGUUCUCGAUCUGCUUCUUCAAUGCGUCCUUGUCCAUGUUAGCUAGUACACUGGGAUCCAUGGUUAUAGCCGCGCCUCCCUUUUGCCAGAUAAGAACCGAAUAGCGCUUGCGCCUCUACGAAAAAUCAAUAGAACCGACUAUGUAUGGGGACUCCUGUUAUUGGAACACCAAACCUACGUCACACACUGGCAACAGGAAAUUCGAUUCUGCGAGGAAAAGUGCACGAACUUUUCCCUCGUUGCGACCUCCGCGAGAUGACAAUGGAUCUUGUUCUGUUCCUCGUACACACGUGAUAUUCGAGCCAUCAUUAUACCGAAGACACUUGAUACUUUGAUGCAGCAGGAUUCAAGGACAUGGUCUUGGAUUUCUUGGAACUGCGUAAACAAAUGGUUUGUCAUAG